rnacentral:rRNA from 1 species
GUAGGCGGUUUAAUAAGUGAAUAGUGAAACCUGGUGGCUCAACCAUACAGACUAUUAUUCAAACUGUUAAACUCGAGAAUGGUAGAGGUAACNUGGAAUUUCUAGUGUAGGAGUGAAAUCCGUAGAUAUUAGAAGGAACACCGAUGGCGUAGGCAGGUUACUGGGCCAUUUCUGACGCUAAGGCACGAAAGCGUGGGGAGCGAACCGGAUUAGAUACCCGGGUAGUCCACGCCGUAAACGAUGGAUACUAGCUGUUGGAGGUAUCGACCCCUUCAGUAGCGAAGCUAACGCGUUAAGUAUCCCGCCUGUGGAGUACGGCCGCAAGGCUAAAACAUAAAGGAAUUGACGGGGACCCGCACAAGCGGUGGAUUAUGUUCUUUAAUUCGAUGAUAACCGAAGAACCUUACCAGGGCUUGACAUCCAGGGAAGGUCUGCGAAAGUAGACUGUGCCUUUUGGAACCCUGUGACAGGUGAUGCAUGGCCGUCGUCAGCUCGUGUCGUGAGAUGUUAGGUUAAGUCCUUCAACGAGCGCAACCCUUGUGAAUAGUUGUAUUUUUCUAUUCAGACUGCCCCGGUAACGGGGAGGAANGAGGGGGAUGAUGUCAGGUCAGUAUUUCCCUUACGUCCUGGGCUAGAAACGUAAUACAAUGGCUAGUACAAUGCGCAGCGAACCCNCGAGGUG